AUGGGAUGGGACGUUACCACGGUCAAUCCUAUUUGGGCGAGGAUUUGGAAGCUUGCUUGUCCAGCAAAGGUUAAAAUAUUUAUUUUGCGUACACUUCACGGCACUAUUCCGUGUUGUGUUAACUUAGCUAAUAGACAUGUGAAAGUCUCGCCUAAGUGUCCUGCCAGCUCAUCUGGGCCAGAAGACACAAAACACUUGCUGUUUCUAUGUGACAGAGCAAAAGAAGUCUGGAGAAGACUAGGGAUGGACGAUAUUAUCGACAGAGCUUGUAAAAUAGACUAUGCGGGUGAGGCAAUCUUGGAAUAUUUACUUUCAUUACCAGAUCAGGAACUAUGUAUUAUGGGCACUCGUAAUGUGCGUGACAUAAUUGUCAUAUUAGCCUGGUACUUGUGGUGGGAAAGGCGCAAAUUGGUACACAAUGAGACUACUCAGAAUGCACAACAAAUAUCCAUGGGGAUACGCACUCUCGCUGCCAAUUUUGUUAAUGCCUCCUCGCCGAAGGCUUCCAUUAAAAGAGGAGGAUGGUCUAAUCCCCCGACGGGAUUUGUUAAACUUAAUGUUGAUGCUUCUUUUGAUCACGACCUUCUUAGGGGUACGAUCGGGGCUAUCUUAAAAGAUGACAAAGGUAGGUUCAUCGGUGGGGGAAAUGGUAAGAUUGACUGGUGUGCAGAUGUGUUGAUGGCUGAAGCUUUGGCGUUAAAAUUUGGCCUAUCGCUUGCGCAAAGGACGGGUUGUAAUCGCAUAAUUAUUAACUCGGAUAAUAUGGAGGUGAUCGAGACCAUGAACGAAGGAGGACGAUCGUCGGGGGCAGCAGCUGCAAUUUUUUAUGACUGUUUUCACUUAGCUUGCGAUUUUCCUAUUUCUAGAUUCGAGCAUUAUAAUAGAGAAGCAAAUAAAGUUGCUCAUGAACUUGCCAAGUUGGCUAGAUCUUCAUUCGUUUUUGAUUGGUUUGAGGAACCACAUAAUGCAAUUGUACCAAUCCUCAUAAACGAUGUAAUGAUUAUUUCUAAUGAAUAA
rnacentral:rRNA from 1 species